CGCAAGUCUCACGGACGACAUGAUGAUUUCAUAUUUAGUGGCGAUCGUAGCAGUUAUUAUCUCGUUCGCUGUCAAUUUAUACCGUGUAAGCAUUCUUAGAAUUUCUUCUGGCUACAAAUAAUAUGGACGAUUAUGAAAAUCUUUUCUUCUCUGGGAAUAUACUGCUAUUACAUUUUGUAAUCAUGUUCUUAAACAAUUAUAGUGGACAGAGAUUGAUAAACAGUAGUGUGCACAUUUUCGACAAAAUAUGCAAUUCGUUAUGGUACGCCUUACCAGUGAAGUCGCAAAAACUAUUACUAUUCAUAUUG